rnacentral:rRNA from 1 species
GACAGAGGGUGCAAACGUUGUUCGGAAUUACUGGGCAUAAAGCGCACGUAGGUGGUCCACUAAGUCGAGUGUGAAAUCCCCCGGCUCAACCGGGGAAUGGCGCUCGAUACUGGUGGGCUAGAGGUCGGUAGGGGUGAGCGGAACUCCAGGUGGAACGGUGAAAUGCGUAGAUAUCUGGAGGAACACCGGUGGCGAAAGCGGCUCACUGGAUCGAAUCUGACACUGAGGUGCGAAAGCUAGGGUAGCAAACGGG